GAGGGUAUAGCUCAAGUGGUAGAGCGCAUGCUUAGCAUACGCUAGGUCCUGGGUUCAAUCCCCAGUACCACCU
rnacentral:tRNA from 1 species